rnacentral:rRNA from 1 species
AGUCGAGAAUCUUCCACAAUGGGGGCAACCCUGAUGGAGCGACGCCGCGUGCAGGAUGACAGCCUUCGGGUUGUAAACUGCUUUUAUAAAGGAAGAACCUUCGGGUUGACGGUACUUUAUGAAUAAGGGGUUGCUAACUACGUGCCAGCAGCAGCGGUAAUACGUAGACCUCAAGCGUUAUCCGGAUUUAUUGGGCGUAAAGGGUGUGUAGGCGGCUCAAAUAGUCAGAUGUUAAAUCACUAGGCUCAACUUAGUGACUGCAUUUGAAACGUUUGAACUAGAAGUAUGCAGAGGUUAGCGGAACUUAUGGUGUAGCAGUGAAAUGCGUUGAUAUCAUAAGGAACACCAAAGGCGAAGGCAGCUAACUGGGCAUUACUUGACGCUGAGGCACGAAAGCGUGGGUAGCGAAUGGGAUUAGAUACCCCAGUAGUCCACGCCGUAAACGAUGUACACUAGAUAUUGGGAGUUUCGACCCUCUCAGUGUCCUAGCUAACGCGAUAAGUGUACCGCCUGGGAAGUACGAGCGCAAGCUUAAAACUCAAAGGAAUAGACGGGGAUCCGCACAAGCGGUGGAGCAUGUGGUUUAAUUCGACAAUAAGCGAGGAACCUCACCAGGGCUAGAUACUUAGCUGCAUUCCGACAGAGAUGUUGGAAGCCUUCGAGGGUGCUAAGCAGGUGCUGCAUGGUUGUCGUCAGCUCGUGCCGUAAGGUGUUCCAUUAAGUUGGGUAACGAGCGCAACCCCUACUGUGUGUUACAAGUGUCACACGGAACUGCCCAGCACACUGAGCGUAAACAAUCGUUUACGAAUAGUGUGCUGGGAGGAAGGUGGGGAUGACGUCAAAUCAGCAUGGCCCUUGAUGCCCUGGGCGACACACGUGCUACAAUGGCCGGUACAACGGGUUGCGAAAUCGCAAGAUGGAGCUAAUCCUUUAAAGCCGGUCCCAGUUCGGAUUGGAGUCUGCAACUCGACUCCAUGAAGUUGGAAUCGCUAGUAAUGGCGCAUCAGCCACGGCGCCGUGAAUACGU